UGGGGGGAUAGCUUAACCAAAGCUUUUGGCUUUUAACCAAAAUAUAGUGGUCAACUCCACUUCCCUUCAU
rnacentral:tRNA from 1 species